UGGGGGAUAUUGCACAAUGGGCGAAAGCCUGAUGCAGCGACGCCGCGUGGGGGAUGAAGGCUUUCGGGUUGUAAACCUCUUUCGCUAUCGAACAAGGCCCGCUUAGGGUGGGUUGAGGGUAGGUGGAGAAGAAGCGCCGGCUAACUACGUGCCAGCAGCCGCGGUAAUACGUAGGUCGCGAGCGUUGUCCGGAAUUAUUGGGCGUAAAGGGCUUGUAGGCGGCUUGUUGCGCCUGCUGUGAAAACGCGGGGCUUAACUUCGCGCGUGCAGUGGGUACGGGCAGGCUUGAGUGUGGUAGGGGUGACUGGAAUUCCAGGUGUAGCGGUGGAAUGCGCAGAUAUCUGGAGGAACACCGAUGGCGAAGGCAGGUCACUGGGCCAUUACUGACGCUGAGGAGCGAAAGCAUGGGUAGCGAACAGG
rnacentral:rRNA from 1 species